rnacentral:rRNA from 1 species
GCGUGAGUGAAGAAGGCCUUAGGGUUGUAAAGCUCUUUUAGUGGGGAAGAUAAUGACUGUACCCACAGAAAAAGCCCCGGCUAACUUCGUGCCAGCAGCCGCGGUAAUACGAAGGGGGCUAGCGUUGUUCGGAAUCACUGGGCGUAAAGCGGGUGUAGGUGGAUGUUUAAGUGAGGGGUGAAAGCCCAAGGCUCAACCUUGGAACGGCCUCUCAUACUGAGCAUCUAGAGUCUGGAAGGGGGAAAUGGAAUUCCGAGUGUAGAGGUGAAAUUCGU